rnacentral:rRNA from 1 species
AUCGAACGCUGGCGGCAUGCUUUACACAUGCAAGUCGAACGGCAGCGCGGGCUUCGGCCUGGCGGCGAGUGGCGAACGGGUGAGUAAUGCAUCGGAACGUGCCCAGUAGUGGGGGAUAGCCCGGCGAAAGCCGGAUUAAUACCGCAUACGACCUGAGGGUGAAAGCGGGGGACCGAAAGGCCUCGCGCUAUUGGAGCGGCCGAUGUCGGAUUAGCUAGUUGGUGGGGUAAAGGCUUACCAAGGCGACGAUCCGUAGCUGGUCUGAGAGGACGACCAGCCACACUGGGACUGAGACACGGCCCAGACUCCUACGGGAGGCAGCAGUGGGGAAUUUUGGACAAUGGGGGCAACCCUGAUCCAGCCAUGCCGCGUGCGGGAAGAAGGCCUUCGGGUUGUAAACCGCUUUUGUUCGGGAAGAAAUCCUCUGGGCUAAUACCCCGGGGGGAUGACGGUACCGGAAGAAUAAGCACCGGCUAACUACGCG